UGCUUCUCUUGAGAGCGGCGGACGGGUGAGUAAUGCCUAGGAAUCUGCCUGGUAGUGGGGGAUAACGUUCGGAAACGGACGCUAAUACCGCAUACGUCCUACGGGAGAAAGCAGGGGACCUUCGGGCCUUGCGCUAUCAGAUGAGCCUAGGUCGGAUUAGCUAGUUGGUGGGGUAAUGGCUCACCAAGGCGACGAUCCGUAACUGGUCUGAGAGGAUGAUCAGUCACACUGGAACUGAGACACGGUCCAGACUCCUACGGGAGGCAGCAGUGGGGAAUAUUGGACAAUGGGCGAAAGCCUGAUCCAGCCAUGCCGCGUGUGUGAAGAAGGUCUUCGGAUUGUAAAGCACUUUAAGUUGGGAGGAAGGGCAGUAAAUUAAUACUUUGCUGUUUUGACGUUACCGACAGAAAUAAGCACCGGC
rnacentral:rRNA from 1 species